rnacentral:rRNA from 1 species
GAUGAACGCUGGCGGCGUGCCUAAUACAUGCAAGUCGAACGAACAGACGAGGAGCUUGCUCCUCUGACGUUAGCGGCGGACGGGUGGGUGACACGGGGAUAACCUACCUAUAGCACUGGAAUAACUUCGGGAAACCGGCGCUAAUACACCGUGAUAUAUAGAACCUCACAGCUCAAUAGUGAAAGACGGUUUUACUGACACUUAUAGAUGGAUCCGCGCCGCAUUGUCUAGUUUGUAAGGUAACGGCUUAACAAGGCAACGAUGGGUAGCCGACACGAGAGUGAGAAUGGCUACCCGGGAAGUGAGACACGGUCCAGACUCCGACGGGAGGCCGCAGUAGGGACUCUUACGCGAUGGGCGAAAGCCUGACGGAGCAACGCGGAGUGAGUGAUGAAGGUCUUAGGAUCGGAAAACUAUGUUAUUAGGGAAGAACUAAUGUGCAAGUAACUAUGCACGUCUUGACGGUACCUAAGGAGAAAGCCACGGCUAACUACGUG